rnacentral:rRNA from 1 species
GACGAACGCUGGCUGGCGUGCCUAAUACAUGCAAGUCUAGCGGACCGAAUCGGAGCUUGCUCUGAUUUGGUCAGCGGCGGACGGGUGAGUAACACGUGGGCGACCUGCCCGCAAGACCGGGAUAACUCCGGGAAACCGGAGCUAAUACCGGAUAACACCGAACACCGCAUGGUCUUUGGUUGAAAGGCGGCCUUUGGCUGUCACUUGCGGAUGGGCCCGCGGCGCAUUAGCUAGUUGGUGAGGUAACGGCUCACCAAGGCGACGAUGCGUAGCCGGCCUGACAGGGUGACCGGCCACACUGGGACUGAUACACGGCCCAGACUCCUACGGGAGGCAGCAUUAGGGAAUCUUCCGCAAUGGGCGAAAGCCUGACGGAGCGACGCCGCGUGAGCGAAGAAGGCCUUCGGGUCGUAUAGCUCUGUUGUGAGGGACGAAGGAGCGCCGUUCGAAGAGGGCGGCGCGGUGACGGUACCUCACGAGGAAGCCCCGGCUAACUACGUGCCAGCAGCCGCGGUAAUACUUACGGGGCGAGCGUUGUCCGGAAUUAUUGGGCGUAAAGCGCGCGCAGGCCGGUUCCUUAAGUCUGAUGUGACAGCCCACGGCUCAACCGCGGAGGGUCAUUGGAAACUGGGGGACUUGAGUGCACGAGAGGAGAGCGGAAUUCCACGUGUAGCGGUGAAAUGUGUAGAGAUGUGGAGGAACACCAGUGGCGAAGGCGGCUCUCUGGCCUGCAACUGACGCUGAGGCGUGAAAGCGUGGGGAGCAAACAGGAUUAGAUACCCUGGUAGUCCACGCUGUAAACGAUGAGUGCUAAGUGUUAGAGGGGUCACACCCUUUAGUGCUGCAGUUAACGCGAUAAGCACUCCGCCUGGGGAGUACGGCCGCAAGGCUGAAACUCAAAGGAAUUGACGGGGGGCCGCACAAGCGGUGGAGCAUGUGCGUUUAAUUCGAAGCAACGAGAAGAACCUUACCAGGUCUUGACAUCCCGUGACAACCCAAGAGAUUGGGCGUUCCCCAUUCGGGGGGACAGGGUGACAGGUGGUGCAUGGUUGUCGUCAGUUAGUGUCGUGAGAUGUUGGGUUAAGUCCCGCAACGAGCGCAACCCUCGCCUUUAGUUGCCAGCACGAAGGUGGGCGCUAUAGAGGGACUGCCGGCGACAAGUUGGAGGAAGGUGGGGAUGAGGUCAAAUCAUCAUGCCCCUUAUGUCCUGGGCUACACAUGUGCUACAAUGGGCGGUACAAAGGUGCUGCGAACCCGUGAGGGGGAGCGAAUCCCAAAAAGCCGUCUCUCAGUUCGGAUAGCAGGUUGCAACUGGCCUGCAUGAAGCAGGAAUCGCUAGUAUUCGCGGAUCAGCAUGCUGCGGUGAAUACGUUCCCGGGCUUUGUACACACCGCCCGUCACACCACGAGAGCUUGCAACACCCGAAGUC